rnacentral:rRNA from 1 species
GACCCGUCUUGAAACACGGACCAAGGAGUUUAAGGUGUACGCGAGUCAUUGAGCUGCGAAACUCAAAGGCGUAAUGAAAGUGAGACAUUGGAUGUCGACGAUGUGAGCGUUGGGCGUUUCGACGUCCGGCGCGCAACAUCGCCCCGUGACUAGGACUUGUUCUGUUGCGGAGGUUGAGCGUACGCUUUGAGACCCGAAAGAUGGUGAACUAUGCCCGAACAGGAUGAAGCCAGAGGAAACUCUGGUGGAAGUCCGAAGCGGUUCUGACGUGCAAAUCGAUCGUCUGAUUUGGGUAUAGGGGCGCAAGACUAAUCGAACCAUCUAGUAGCUGGUUCCUUCCGA